UAUGACGAACAAUUCAACUCU
rnacentral:piRNA from 1 species